AUUGAACGCUGGCGGCGUGCUUAACACAUGCAAGUCGAACGUGAAAGUCCUUCGGGGCGAGUAAAGUGGCGCACGGGUGAGUAACGCGUGGAUAAUCUACCCUUAAGAUGGGGAUAACGGCUGGAAACGGUCGCUAAUACCGAAUACGCUCCCGAUUUUAUCGUUGGGGGGAAAGAUGGCCUCUGCUUGCAAGCUAUCGCUUAAGGAUGAGUCCGCGUCCCAUUAGCUAGUUGGCGGGGUAACGGCCCACCAAGGCGACGAUGGGUAGCCGGUCUGAGAGGAUGACCGGCCACACUGGAACUGGAACACGGUCCAGACUCCUACGGGAGGCAGCAGUGGGGAAUAUUGCGCAAUGGGCGAAAGCCCGACGCAGCGACGCCGCGUGAGGGAUGAAGGUUCUCGGAUCGUAAACCUCUGUCAGGGGGGAAGAAACCCCCUCGUGUGAAUAAUGCGAGGGCUUGACGGUACCCCCAAAGGAAGCACCGACUAACUCCGUGCCAGCAGCCGCGGUAA
rnacentral:rRNA from 1 species